GACGAACGCUGGCGGCGUGCUUAACACAUGCAAGUCGAACGGAAAGGCCCUGCUUUUGUGGGGUGCUCGAGUGGCGAACGGGUGAGUAACACGUGAGUAACCUGCCCUUGACUUUGGGAUAACUUCAGGAAACUGGGGCUAAUACCGGAUAGGUGCUCCUGCUGCAUGGUGGGGGUUGGAACGUUUCGGUGGUUGUGGAUGGACUCGCGGCUUAUCAGCUUGUUGGUGGGGUAGUGGCUUACCAAGGCUUUGGCGGAUAGCCGGCCUGAGAGGGUGAACGGCCACAUGGGGACUGAGAGACGGACCAGACGCGUACGGGAGGCAGCAGGGGGGAAUAUUGCACAAUGGGCGGAAGCCUGAUGCAGCAAUGCUGCGUGCGGGAUGACGGCCUUCGGGUUGUAAACCGCUUUCGCCUGUGACGAAGCGUGAGUGACGGUAAUGGGUAAAGAAGCACCGGCUAACUACGUG
rnacentral:rRNA from 1 species